rnacentral:rRNA from 1 species
UUCCAGACUCCUACGGGAGGCAGCAGUGGGGAAUAUUGCACAAUGGGGGAAACCCUGAUGCAGCGACGCCGCGUGAGCGAUGAAGUAUUUCGGUAUGUAAAGCUCUAUCAGCAGGGAAGAAGAUGACGGUACCUGACUAAGAAGCCCCGGCUAACUACGUGCCAGCAGCCGCGGUAAUACGUAGGGGGCAAGCGUUAUCCGGAUUUACUGGGUGUAAAGGGAGCGUAGACGGCGGCGCAAGCCAGAUGUGAAAGCCCGGGGCUCAACUCCGGGACUGCAUUUGGAACUGUGUGGCUGGAGUGUCGGAGAGGCAGGCGGAAUUCCUAGUGUAGCGGUGAAAUGCGUAGAUAUUAGGAGGAACACCAGUGGCGAAGGCGGCCUGCUGGACGAUGACUGACGUUGAGGCUCGAAAGCGUGGGGAGCAAACAGGAUUAGAUACCCUGGUAU